AUUAUUUUCCCCAUUUUAAAAAAAGAGGAAACUGAGCCAUAGAGGUGAAAUAACUGUCUAAGGUCACACAGGUAAUUUAUAGAACAGGGAUUGAAUCUAGGCAGUCCACCAUACUACCAUUCAGAUGAGCAGAUUGUGACAUCAUUCUUCUAUGAAAAUGCAGAGGUCCUACCUCAUCCCAGCUCUGCUCCCAUGGGGGCCCCAGGCCUGCUUCACUCAGAAAACUGAAAUCCACCAGGCUUAAUUAUGGACAUUUCAAAAUCUUAAAAAUCAGGAUUUCAAAGCAGUUAUUGAAUCUAAUUCAGAGACAGUCCUUCCUUUAAUCUCCAGUUCCAGGGACAGUGAUUACCAAGAACAAUUCUCUGACUUUUGUCCAUUUUCUUGCAACAGAUUGAGUCUAAUGAAUAAUAUACAUUUUUAUAGGGUCCAAUAGCUUUUAAAUUGCUUCCACAUGAUUAAAUUUUCAUAUAUGCAAGCUGUUGGCAUAAUAACUGGCUCUGGCUAGGUACCUGGCAUGUUUUCGACUGAAUUGUAUGUAGAUAUUUUUUUCAAUGAUAUUUUGUCCAGCAGUGACCUAUAUUCCAAAAUUUUCAUGUGAGACUGUAUCCUUAAGAAAUAAGUGAGCCCCCAUUUACUCAUCCGGUGCUAUGACACGUUUUUAAGUUUCUUAGUCUAUCUCUACAGCAGCUGAGAAUUGGAAGACAUGACAAUCGACAAGCCAGUUGAGAGAAAAAGCAGUUUCCCAAAUCAACACAGCCACUUUAGAGCUUCUCUUGAAAUGUGGUGUGUGGUACUGUAACUGAAUUCCUGGAGUUCUUGUCCUGUCUUAUGAACCAAUCAAAGUAAGACAGAUGCCAACUGCAAGGGAAACAAAGUGUCAAUUUAUUGUCUGUGCAGACAAGGAGCAACGUGUGGCCUAGCGGCCAAAAGACCACACACUCCCAGCCCCAGGGGAUCGGGGACCUUUUAUGUCCUGGAGUCCCCAGGGGUCAGGGAUUGGCGCCUGAAACCCUACACCCUGCGCCCUCCCAUGCCCAAAUUUGGAGAUCCAGGUGCUGAGUCAUUCUUCAUAGGAAGCUGGCAUUAUAGAACCUCUUGCUUUGCAAAGGGGCUCCGGUGGUGCUGUCUGCUGGAGAAUAUAUCCCCCUCCAGCGAUGCCCAGAUCUGGGGUCAGUGUGGAUGUUAUUCAUUUCCCACUUUUGUGUCGUUUUACUGGAGUCGCAUUUGGAGAUGAAGACUUGAUGGAGGACUUCUGAGCGAUCUAAGCACUUUCCUGAAGGAAUGACAACGGAGGAUCUGGGAUACAGGAUCUGAGAAGACCCCUUUUUCCCACCCAAAAGACUGCUGGUAUUCACCUGGAGAGGUGCAGGUCAGUUCUAGCUUUGCUUACUUCUUAUAGUUCUCACAUUUCUAAACAAAUGUAGAGUGUGAAGUGUCGCAGAGAGACCUUGGUUUAAUGGUUUAUUAGCUACCUGACUGGAGGAAAACGACCUAAUUUUCUAAGCCUCAGUAUCUUCAGUAAAAUGGAGCUAAGAAUGUCUGUCUUGCAGGGUUGUUGUGAGGAUUAAAUCAGCUAGCAUGUGGAAAGUGUUUAUGGUAGGCCUUCACCUCAAGUCUUCCGAUGAUUCAGUUCUCCACAGUUCUUCCUUUGACCCGUGCCGUUUACCACAGGGAUAUGUCUGAUUUUCCUAGAUUCUGAAAUAGUCAGAAUUCUGGACUGGAAGCAGGGCAGACUUCUGGCACUAGGAGAUCAUUGCUGCCAUCUAUUGUUUCAGACAUGUCUGGAAAUUUAAUGGUGGUCACCAUGUUUCCAGGGGAUAGCUGUCUAUUUGUAAUCUUUAAACUUUCUAUAGGAAUCCAAAGACUCAACACAACCAACAGCUGGACUCAUUACAAAGGUAAUAAUUUAGAAAGGCAUAACAAGUCAGUACGUUUAAUUUCAGAGCGUGCUUCUUCAUAUCUUUAAAAUUCUGACCCCAGUUUAAAGGGAGCAAUUGAUAUUACCUAUAGAAAAAGUUUUUGGAGAUAAAGUGUCUUCGAUAACCCAUCCACGAGGUGAUUGCAGAUGGAGGCAUCCUACGCUUAUCCCAAAUGCCUGAGUGCCCACGUGUGAAUCAGCCCAAAGUUUCAGUCUAGCUCCACCCAAGGAAACAACUCGCUAAGUGAUAAUACCUGAAAGGCAAUACUUGAUGUACUAAAUGGAACUGGAAUCAGAAGAAUGGGAAUAUUAUUGAUCCUUCUAGGAGGAGGUUUACUUUUCAACCAGGAAAGAAAAAAAAAAAGCAAGGUAAUGUUACCUGUCCUUAGAU